rnacentral:rRNA from 1 species
AUGUUGGAGGGCAUAGGACCAAACAGUCCUACUACAGGCACAAUACCUACUUCCCUAGCUUCAAAACUAGCGUUCCUCGACCUGUCGUACAACUCAUUUGUCGGAGAAAUCCCAUUGAAAGUGCAGAAUAUGACUGGGCUUAUUGGGCUGUCUCUCCAGAACAACUCACUUUCUGGACCCAUCCCUGAUCUUCACCUCCCAAAACUGAGGAACUGCACCACCUCCUCCCAAUGCUCCAACUGCCCGGACAGGGGUCAGAAACCUCUCAAAAUUGCAGUGGUUGCUGUAGGCACAGUUAUAUUAUUGAUAAUAAUGGUCAUUCUCGUGGUAUGCACCUGCAAGAGGAAGAGAUACAAGCCAGAAUACAGCAAUGGUUAUCAUGUCCAGGAGCCUGAAGCUGUGGGAAGAGCCAAGAAAUCCAAGCCAGAAUACAGCAGUGGUUAUCAUGUCCAGGAGCCUGAAGUUGUGGGAAGAGCCAAGAAAUCCAAGCUAGAAUACAGCGGUGGUAUAGAAGCAGAGAGGAACAAGCUAGUUUUCUUUGAGGGUUGUUCAUAUGAUUUCGACUUGGAUGAUCUGGUGAGGGCUUCAGGUGAAGUCCUUGGAAAAGGAACCUACGGUCCGACCUACAAAGCUGGUCUUGAGGAUGGCACGACAGUGGUGGUCAAGAGGCUGAAGGAGGUGGUGGUAGGAAAGAAGGUAUUCGAGAGCAGAUGGAGAUAA